GGGAAGUGCGUGAAUAGGAUCCCGGUGCCAAGACCUCCCUCCAUUGAGGAAUUCACCAUAGUGAAGCCCAUUAGCCGUGGCGCCUUUGGGAAGGUGUAUCUCGGGCAGAAAGGCGGCAAGUUGUAUGCUGUGAAGGUAAUGGAAUAUCUUAUUGGUGGAGAAGUCAAGUCUCUCCUACAUAUAUAUAUGGUUAUUUUGAUGAAGAGGAGAUGGCUGUGAAAUAUAUUUCUGAAGUAGCCUUGGCUCUAGACUAUCUUCACAGACACGGAAUCAUCCACAGGGAUUUGAAACCAGACAAUAUGCUUAUUUCUAAUGAAGGUCAUAUUAAACUAACAGAUUUUGGCCUUUCCAAAGUUACUUUGAAUAGAGUCAUCAAUAUGAUGGAUAUCCUUACAACACCAUCAAUGGCUAAACCUAGACAAGAUUAUUCAAGAACCCCAGGACCAGUGUUAUCGCUCAUCAGCUCUUUGGGAUUUAACACACCAGUUGCAGAAAAAAACAAAGACUCUACAAAUAUUCUUUCAACCCAUGUAUCUGAAACAUCGCACCUUUCUCAAGGACUAAUUUGUCCUAUGUCUGUAGAUCACAGGGAUACUACUCCUUAUUCUAGCAAACUACUAAACUCAUGUCUUGCAACAGUUGCCUCCAAUCCCGGGAUGCCUGUGAAGUGCCUAACAUCUAACCUCCCGCAGUCCAGGAGAAGGCUGGCUACAUCCAGUGCCAGCAGCCAGUCUCACACCUUCGUAUCCAGUGUGGAGUCUGAGUGCCACAGCAGCCCCCGAUGGGAGAAGGACUGCCAGGAAAGUGACAAUGCACUGGGCUCUACGGUGAUGAGUUGGAAUAUAAUAGAAAAGCCUUCAUGUACAAAAUCUACCAAUUCCAUUGAAACCAAAGGUUUCGAUAAAAAGGAUCUUGAGUUAGCAGUUUCUCCCAUUCAUAACAGCAGUGCCGUUCCUGAGACUCGAAGCUCCUGUGUAAACCUGGCUAAAAAAUGCUUCCCCGGGGAAGUUUCUUGGGAAGCAAAAGAACUGGAUAUAAAUAAUAUUCAUGUGGCCACUGACACAGCACAGUCUGGUUUUCACCAGUCAGAGCAGUGGGCUGUGGACUCUGGUGAUAGGACUGAAGAGCACCUUGGGAAAAGAGGUUUUAAAAGAAAUUUUGAGUUAGUUGACUCUAGUCCUUGUCAGAACAUCAUACAGAAUAAAAAAAACUGUAUAGAGCAGAAGUCUAGAAAUGAAAUGAGCGAUGGUUAUAUAAAUCAAAGGAUGGGCUUAACAACUGAGGUCCAAGACCUGAAGCUAUCUGUAUGUGGUCAGCAAAGUGACUGUGCUGAUGAGGAGAACGUGGUCAGUUCUUUCAUUGGUAAACCACACACCCCAGAAAAAUCACCUACCCCAAUGAUAGCAAAAAACCUUCUGUGUGAACUGGAUGAGGACUGUGAUGACAAGAAGGACCUCCUCAGUUCUAGUUUUCUAUGUUCCGACGAUGAGAGAGCUUCUAAAAGUAUUUGUAUGGACUCCGAUUCAUCUUUUCCCGGAAUUUCUAUCAUGGAAAGUUCAUUAGAAAGGCAGUCCUUAGAUCCAGAUAAAAGCAUCAAAGAAUCCUCUUUUGAAGAAUCAAACACUGAAGACCUACUCACCGUAUCACCCAGCUGGCAGGAGAAUACCUUGCCGAAAGGUGAUGAGAAUCCUGCUGUCCCAGGCAGUAGCCAAAAAAUGUUAGCUCCGUCUUGAGAGGUGUUGAAAACAUUAACCUUAUCUAAAAGAAAUGCUGUAGCUUUUCGAAGUUUUAACAGUCAUAUCAAUGCGUCCAAUAACUCAGAACCAUCCAAAAUGAGCAUUACCUCUUUAGAUGCAAUGGAAAUUUCAUGUGUUUAUAGUGGUUCGUAUCCCAUGGCUAUAACCCCUAAUCAAAAAGGAACAUCCUAUAUGCCAUAUCAGCAGACCCCAAAUCAGGUCAAAUCAGGAACCCCAUACCGAACUCCAAAGAGUGUGAGGCGAGGGGCAGCCCCCGUGGAUGAUGGGCGGAUUCCUGGGACUCCGGACUACCUCGCACCUGAGCUGUUAUUGGGCAGAGCCCAUGGAUUUCUGACUUCCGGUCCUGCAGUAGACUGGUGGGCACUUGGAGUUUGCUUGUUUGAGUUUCUAACAGGAAUUCCUCCUUUCAAUGAUGAAACACCACAACAAGUAUUCCAAAAUAUUCUGAAAAGAGAUAUCCCUUGGCCUGAAGGUGAAGAAAAGUUAUCUGAUAAUGCUCAAAAUGCAGUAGAAGUACUUUUAACUCUUGAUAAUGCAAAGAGAGCUGGUAUGAAAGAGCUGAAACGUCAUCCUCUCUUCAGUGAUGUGGACUGGGAAAAUCUGCAGCAUCAAACUAUGCCUUUCAUACCCCAACCAGAUGACGAAACAGAUACAUCCUACUUUGAAGCCAGAAAUAAUGCUCAGCACCUGACCGUAUCUGGAUUUAGUCUAUAGCACAUAAAUUUUCCUUUUAAUCUAAUCUUGGCUUAUAAGCUAUC